AUUGAACGCUGGCGGCAGGCCUAACACAUGCAAGUCGAACGAGUGGCGGACGGGUGAGUAAUGUCUGGGAAACUGCCUGAUGGAGGGGGAUAACUACUGGAAACGGUAGCUAAUACCGCAUACCAUCGGAUGUGCCCAGAUGGGAUUAGCUAGUAGGUGGGGUAAAGGCUCACCUAGGCGACGAUCCCUAGCUGGUCUGAGAGGACGACCAGCCAAACGGGAACUGAGACACGGUCCAGACUCCUACGGGAGGCAGCAGUGGGGAAUAUUGCACAAUGGGGGAAAGCCUGAUACAGCCAUGCCGCGUGUAUGAAGAAGGCCUUCGGGUUGUAAAGUACUUUCGGCGGGGAGGCGUUACCCGCAGAAUAAGCACCGGCUAACUCCGUGCCAGCCGCCGCGGUAAUAC
rnacentral:rRNA from 1 species